rnacentral:rRNA from 2 species
AACGACCCCAGGUCAGGCGGGACCACCCGCUGAGUUUAAGCAUAUCAAUAA